rnacentral:lncRNA from 1 species
UACAGCUCCCUCCAGCCCUUCUGAGUCUAAAACACAUUCCAAUUCCUCUGUUUUCCAGGCUUAUUUUGCCAUCAGUAACUCCUUCCUGUUCCCCCAGCCAUGAGUGAAUAUGCUGAAUGAGGACCUUUUACUGUAAGGAGUUCUUCUCUCAAUGUGUGACCUGCCCUGUCUAUCACCAGUGGGUAUCUGAGCUUAAGGCCUCUGUAAUGAGAUGUGAAAAGAGAGAAUUGAUGUCCCUGACUAACAGCAUCAGACCUUUUGACACCUGCUUGACCAGGAUUUGGAUAAAAGGAGAAUUUCUGCAGGAAAAUAACUCUUAGAAAAGAAACUUAGGAAUACAGAGUAAGCAUUUCUUCCUGGAAGCCUUGUGUGAGAGACAUAAAGACAGUCUCAGAUUCUUACUCACAAGCAGUCAAAGGCUGCACCUCUGAAAUAAAAAGGGACACACAGAUGUAAGGAGUUAGUCCUUGCUCCAGAGGAUUUGACAGAGUGGCUGAUGUCAAGGAGAACAAGGAUGCAGAAGAAACUCAAGAUGUAUGUAUUAAAACAAAAGAACAAUAACCUGAAGGGACCAUGAUUCUGUUAUUGUAUAUAACACAAGGAAAUGCCCCAGAUUCUCCUUUAAAAGAUAUAAUGUACAUAUUAA